rnacentral:rRNA from 1 species
AUUGAACGCUGGCGGCAGGCCUAAUACAUGCAAGUCGAACGGUAGCACAGAGAGCUUGCUCUCGGGUGACGAGUGGCGGACGGGUGAGUAAUGUCUGGGAAACUGCCCGAUGGAGGGGGAUAACUACUGGAAACGGUAGCUAAUACCGCAUAACGUCGCAAGACCAAAGUGGGGGACCUUCGGGCCUCACACCAUCGGAUGUGCCCAGAUGGGAUUAGCUAGUAGGUGGGGUAAUGGCUCACCUAGGCGACGAUCCCUAGCUGGUCUGAGAGGAUGACCAGCAACACUGGAACGGAGACACGGUCCAGACUCCUACGGGAGGCAGCAGUGGGGAAUAUUGCACAAUGGGCGCAAGCCUGAUGCAGCCAUGCCGCGUGUAUGAAGAAGGCCUUCGGGUUGUAAAGUACUUUCAGCGGGGAGGAAGGCGGUGAAGUUAAUAGCUUCACCGAUUGACGUUACCCGCAGAAGAAGCACCGACUAACUCCGUGCCAGCAGCCGCCGCAG